AACCUCCGCAAUGUGAGAAAUCGCGACGGGGGGAUCCCAAGUGCCAUUCUUAACGGGAUGGCUUUUCAUUAGUGUAAAGAGCUUUUGGAAUAAGGGCUGGGCAAGACCGGUGCCAGCCGCCGCGGUAACACCGGCAGCUCUAGUGGUAGCAGUUUUUAUUGGGCCUAAAGCGUCCGUAGCCGGUUUAAUAAGUCUCUGGUGAAAUCCUGUAGCUUAACUGUGGGAAUUGCUGGAGAUACUAUUAGACUUGAGACCGGGAGAGGUUAGAGGUACUCCCAGGGUAGAGGUGAAAUUCUGUAAUCCUGGGAGGACCGCCUGUUGCGAAGGCGUCUAACUGGAACGGUUCUGACGGUGAGGGACGAAAGUUAGGGGCGCGAACCGGAUUAGAUACCCGGGUAGUCCUAACUGUAAACGAUGCGGACUUGGUGUUGGGGUGGCUUUGAGCUGCUCCAGUGCCGAAGGGAAGCUGUUAAGUCCGCCGCCUGGGAAGUAUGGUCGCAAGACUGAAACUUAAAGGAAUU
rnacentral:rRNA from 1 species